rnacentral:rRNA from 1 species
AGUGAACGCUGGCGGUAGGCCUAACACAUGCAAGUCAAACGGCAGCACAGUAAGAGCUUGCUCUUACGGGUGGCGAGUGGCGGGCGGGUGAGGAAUACAUCGGAAUCUACUUUUUCGUGGGGGAUAACGUAGGGAAACUUACGCUAAUACCGCAUACGACCUACGGGUGAAAGCAGGGGAUCUUCGGACCUUGCGCGAUUGAAUGAGCCGAUGUCGGAUUAGCUAGUUGGCGGGGUAAAGGCCCACCAAGGCGACGAUCCGUAGCUGGUCUGAGAGGAUGAUCAGCCACACUGGAACUGAGACACGGUCCAGACUCCUACGGGAGGCAGCAGUGGGGAAUAUUGGACAAUGGGCGCAAGCCUGAUCCAGCCAUACCGCGUGGGUGAAGAAGGCCUUCGGGUUGUAAAGCCCUUUUGUUGGGAAAGAAAAGCAGCAGGUUAAUACCCCGCUGUUCUGACGGUACCCAAAGAAUAAGCACCGGCUAACUUCGUG